GUAGUCCACGCCCUAAACGAUGCGCACUAGAUCGAGGAGAGUGACAUCCCCUUGGUCGAAGCAAAAGUGUUAAGUGCGCCGCCUGGGGAGUACGGUCGCAAGGCUAAAACUCAAAGGAAUUGACGGGGGCUCACACAAGCGGUGGAGCAUGUGGCUUAAUUCGAAGCAACGCGAAGAACCUUAUCCUGGGCUUGACAUGCACGGAUUAACUCUCUGAAAGGGGAGCCACACCCGCAAGGGUGGAACGUGCACAGGUGCUGCAUGGCUGUCGUCAGCUCGUGCUGUGAAGUGUCGGGUUAAGUCCCUCAACGAGCGCAACCCCUGUCGCUAGUUGCUAACGAGUAAUGUCGAGGACUCUAGCGAGACUGCCGGUGUCAAACCGGA
rnacentral:rRNA from 1 species